rnacentral:rRNA from 1 species
GACGUUGACGGGGAAGCGUUACUGGCCGUUACUAGACGUAAAGAGUGGCUAGAUUGUUUAAGUUUUUUUGUCUAAAAUCAAAGAAUUGUCGAAGACUGGCAUAAAACCUUAAUACUAGAGGAGUAAAGAGAUUUGCGAUAAGUUUAAUCUAGAGAUAGAAUUCUAAAAGAUUAAAAAGAUCUUCAAAUGUCACGACAGCAAUUUACUUAUUAUCCUGACAUCAAACCAUUAAAGUUCGGGUAUCAAUCAGG